rnacentral:lncRNA from 1 species
GCAAGAAAAGGGGAAGAGAGGAAAAAUCACCCGCCGGAAGGGCACCCUCUACCACCACGAUUAAAACUAACUAAAUCCUUUUGUCUGCUGCAGGAAGACAAAGGAUUGAUGAUGGCGGCAAGACGCAACGCCAGGGAAACCACCAAAAAAUCGGGGCAGAAAAUUUUCUGCCGAUUGUCGAAAAUUUUCUCGGAAGAACGGGGAAACAAUUUCAAAUACAUUUAAGUUCUAGGUCGCCCACCAGUAUAAUGCGGGAAUACAUUUAAGUUCUAGGUCGUCCACCAGUAUAAUGCGGGAAUACAUUUAAGUUCUAGGUCGCCCACCAGUAUAAUGCGGGAAUACAUUUAAGUUCUAGGUCGCCCACCAGUAUAAUGCGGGAAUACAUUUAAGUUCUAGGUCGCCCACCAGUAUAAUGCGGGAAUACAUCUAAGUUCUAGGUCGCCCACCAGUAAAAUG